UUGGUCCAGACUCAUUGCUGAAUUCGCCAAACUCAGAAUUAUUCCUGUAUUUUCUGGGAAGUGUUCUGCCGUGUUGCAUCCUCCCACACUGCCCCAGAGCAGGGUGAGGACACUGGGGCUGUGCCGCCUGUGGACCAGCAGUUCCCAGUUCAUUCUCUCAGUGCUGCAGGAGCUGGAGGCUGUGUGGCACGGCUGGUACAUGGAGAGAAGCCAUCCCACAGCUCCCGUGAUGUCCGGGCUGCGCUCCUGGCAGCUCAAGGAUGAGUCUGGCACACCUGUCAAGGCGAGUGGGGAAGAGGAGCAUCCUCCAAGCAGACAGGUCCUGCUCCUGUAAGAGCACCCAGGAAGUCUGGUGGGAUUAGCUCAAGGAAUCUCCUGCCCCUACACCUGACAGGAGAAACCAGAGAGCUGGGCAGAAGAGGAGGCAAGCCAGUCCCUUCUCAGGGCCCUGAUCUGCCACUGUGUUUCCUGUCCAGGCUUUCUGCCCUUGGACCUUUCUCCUCAAGCUUUGUCUUAUUGUGUACAGUUCCUAGAAUGGACUGGAGACCUUACUCUGGAAAAUCCCUGAUGAAGGGCAAAGCCCAGCACUCCAUUCCAUUUUGCUCCAGUGGGGCCCUGGCGCAGCCACCUGGUCCCCAGUGCUGAACCCAGCCAGAUGCCCACCACCUCCUUGCCCUGCACUACCCAGCUGGAUUUCCUCCCCAUCCCAACACUGAGGUGAGGAGCCACAACAGCACAGGAGGAUCCAUCCAGCUCUGAAUGCUGCCAUGAGAGAUGAGCCAGAACUGCCUGCCUUGCCUCCAACAGUCUUUUUAAUCCUCCCAUGGAUAGUGACUCCCACAUUGCCUGGGCAGCCCAUGCCAGUGCUUGACAACUCAUUCAGUGAAGAAAUUUUUCUCUAGUAUCCAGUCUAACCCUCCCCUGGCACCAUUUGAGGCUGUUUCCUGUUGCCUUAUCACCCAGGACUUCAUCCAGCGGCAGAGACAGUGUGAGCCAGUGUCAGGAGAGAACCAGGGACUGAUAGAGGCACCAGACACAGCCUGAGUUGUGCUGGGGAAUAUUUUGGCCUGGAAUUACUGACUAAAAAUGUUUUCAUGGAGUGUUACAAAGCACUUCAUCACUGGGGGAGGUAUUUUGGGGUAACCAUGGUGCAGCAGCUCCAAGUUUGUCGGCGAAGCUGCAUCCGGCCGGCCAGGAGCCCAUAGGAAUCCAAAAGCAGCCCCUCCACCCGCUGGGAGGGAGCUGGAACAAAGGCAUUAGGGAGCAUAAGGAGAUUUACAUUUGCAAAGCUAUUUCCAUUUUAAUAAGCCAAAGCGCUGUUAAAUAGAGAUUGAUAUUUCUCCCCAAAUACCCAUAUUUUUUAACUGGUUUACAUCAACAAGA